rnacentral:rRNA from 1 species
AAAACCGAAUUGAACGCUAGCGGCAUGCUUUACACAUGCAAGUCGAACGGCAGCGCGGGGCAACCUGGCGGCGAGUGGCGAACGGGUGAGUAAUACAUCGGAACGUGCCCUGUGAUGGGGGAUAACUACGCGAAAGCGUAGCUAAUACCGCAUACGACCUACGGGUGAAAGUGGGGGAUCGCAAGACCUCACGUCAUAGGAGCGGCCGAUGGCGGAUUAGCUAGUUGGUGAGGUAAAGGCUUACCAAGGCGACGAUCCGUAGCUGGUCUGAGAGGACGACCAGCCACACUGGGACUGAGACACGGCCCAG